rnacentral:rRNA from 1 species
AACGGCCGUACCAUGCUGAAUAUACCAGUUCUCGUUAGAUCACCGAAGUUAAGCAUCAUUGGGCGCGGUCAGUACUUGGGUGGCUGACCACCUGGGAACACUGCGUGCCGUU